CACCCCCACCCCAUGGGUUUCACUUAGGAGCUCAUCAGACGAUGGCCAACUUGAACACCUGCAAAAGGUUGGAGGGGAGGAAACCAGGGGGAGGGAUCCAGGGGGUGGUGUGAUGGUGACAAGAUGGGACAGAGGAGACCAAAUAGACCCACAUAAGAAAACGCAAAGCAGAAGUCAUCAGGCUGCUCCCCACCCUCAGAAUUCUUUCCUUUGAGAAGACAAGAACCAAGGAAUUCCAUAGUCCACCACCAGGUAACACAACGAGAAGGGAGGCCUACAAGUAUUUCAGAAGCUGCUUCAGCAGCAGCUGAGUCCGAGCAGGACCAAGUGCUGGUGGAGGGGAGGCCUAACCAGUCUCCACUACAGAUGGAAUGCUGGAGAGGACAAUAAAAGGCAGAAGUGGUCAUUUGUCUUUCAGGAUGGCUACAUUUGCAUAAUGUGGGGGUAGACCUCGCCUCCGCUCUUUUCACAGCUUUGCUUACUGCAUCUCCCCCACAUUUACCCCCCUGCCGUUUGGUAAACAUCUCCGGAUCUGGGGAAAAGAGGAAGAGCAAACUGUGAAUUAGAGACACUUACACAUAUGCACUUACAUAUUUAUCUGUACUUAUCGAUGGAGGAGUUCUCUACACUCCAAAAUGUUC
rnacentral:lncRNA from 1 species